rnacentral:rRNA from 1 species
AUUGAACGCUGGCGGAAUGCUUUACACAUGCAAGUCGAACGGCAGCACGGACUUCGGUCUGGUGGCGAGUGGCGAACGGGUGAGUAAUACAUCGGAACGUGCCCAGUCGUGGGGGAUAACGUAGCGAAAGCUACGCUAAUACCGCAUACGAUCUAAGGAUGAAAGCGGGGGAUCGCAAGACCUCGCGCGAUUGGAGCGGCCGAUGGCAGAUUAGGUAGUUGGUAGGGUAAAGGCCUACCAAGCCGACGAUCUGUAGCUGGUCUGAGAGGAUGAUCAGCAGCACUGGGACUGAGACACGGCCCAGACUCCUACGGGAGGCAGCAGUGGGGAAUUUUGGACAAUGGGCGCAAGCCUGAUUCAGCCAUUCCGCGUGCGGGAUGAAGGCCUUCGGGUUGUAAACUGCUUUUGUACAGAACGAAAAGGCUCUGGUUAAUACCCGGGGCUCAUGACGGUACUGUAAGAAUAAGCACCGGCUAACUACGUGCCAGCAGCCGCCGUAA